rnacentral:rRNA from 1 species
UACAGAGGUGGCAAGCGUUGUUCGGAAUUACUGGGCGUAAAGGGCGCGUAGGCGGCCUUCUAAGUCAGACGUGAAAUCCCCCGGCUUAACUGGGGAACUGCGUCCGAUACUGGAUGGCUUGAGUUUGGGAGAGGGAUGCGGAAUUCCAGGUGUAGCGGUGAAAUGCGUAGAUAUCUGGAGGAACACCGGUGGCGAAGGCGGCAUCCUGGACCAACACUGACACUGAGGAGCGAAAGCCAGGGGAGCAAACGGG